rnacentral:rRNA from 1 species
GACGAACGCUGGCGGCGUGCUUAACACAUGCAAGUCGAACGGAAAGGCCCUGCUUUUGUGGGGUGCUCGAGUGGCGAACGGGUGAGUAACACGUGAGUAACCUGCCCUUGACUUUGGGAUAACUUCAGGAAACUGGGGCUAAUACCGGAUAUGGGCCCCUGCUGCAUGGGGGGGGUUGGAAAGUUUCGGCGGUUGGGGAUGGACUCGCGGCUUAUCAGCUUGUUGGUGGGGUAGUGGCUUACCAAGGCUCUGACGGGUAGCCGGCCUGAGAGGGUGACCGGCCACAUUGGGACUGAGAUACGGCCCAGACUCCUACGGGAGGCAGCAGUGGGGAAUAUUGCACAAUGGGCGGAAGCCUGAUGCAGCAACGCCGCGUGCGGGAUGACGGCCUUCGGGUUGUAAACCGCUUUCGCCUGUGACGAAGCGUGAGUGACGGUAAUGGGUAAAGAAGCACCGGCUAACUACGUG